GCGAACGGGUGAGUAACACGUGGGUAACCUGCCCAUCAGAAGGGGAUAACACUUGGAAACAGGUGCUAAUACCGUAUAACAAUCGAAACCGCAUGGUUUUGAUUUGAAAGGCGCUUUCGGGUGUCGCUGAUGGAUGGACCCGCGGUGCAUUAGCUAGUUGGUGAGGUAACGGCUCACCAAGGCCACGAUGCAUAGCCGACCUGAGAGGGUGAUCGGCCACAUUGGGACUGAGACACGGCCCAAACUCCUACGGGAGGCAGCAGUAGGGAAUCUUCGGCAAUGGACGAAAGUCUGACCGAGCAACGCCGCGUGAGUGAAGAAGGUUUUCGGAUCGUAAAACUCUGUUGUUAGAGAAGAACAAGGAUGAGAGUAACUGUUCAUCCCUUGACGGUAUCUAACCAGAAAGCCACGGCUAACUACGUGCCAGCAGCCGCGGUAAUACGUAGGUGGCAAGCGUUGUCCGGAUUUAUUGGGCGUAAAGCGAGCGCAGGCGGUUUCUUAAGUCUGAUGUGA
rnacentral:rRNA from 1 species